GACUGGCCGGGCGCGAGACGCUGCGGCAGAUGGGAGGCCUGUCCCCCGUUCCCCUGGCCGAGCAUCUGGCCAUCCGCCCGCCCUCCCUUCCUCCUCCUGCCCUUCUCCGGUGUCGCAGCAGGCAGCCGGAGUCAAGUUCCUCUUUUGUUCAGUAGCCCCCAGGGAAGAAAACCAACCCUGGCGACUGCGGAUGGCCUGGCGAUCUCCCCGGACCGCGCUUCUCGGGUCCAGCCGCCGCACCUGCGCCCGGGCCCGCCCUCGCGCGCACGCGCCGAGCUCCAGGGCUGCUCCUGCGCCCGCCCUUUCUCCCAAGGCCCGACAGGGGGCGCUCCUUGCUCCGCCCUCCCGGGCCCAUUUCCCCAUCUAAAAUGGGAGUCGCCCGCCUGCUCUGAAUCCCAGCCGCCCUGCUGCCCUAUUUCAGGUUUCGUGAAAAUCCCACCAUUGGGACGAUUGGGGCUCGUAGAGAUCCGGAGACUCCAACACCUCCGCGCUUGCUGGAAAGCCCUACUCUCGUUUUUAUCGUCCAGGGCCCCCUUUGUGCGACAGGGUCUCUGUUGCCCAGGCUGGCCCCGAACUCCUGGGCUUAAACAGUCCUCCAGACGGCCUCCUCGGGGUGGCAUGUCACCUUGCUCACCUUUGUGUGUGUGUGUGUGUGGGGGGGGGGUACUGGGGAUUGAACCCGGGGCACUUUAAACUGAGCCACAUCUCUAGCUUUUUUGUUGUGAGACAGGGUCUGCCUGCAGCUCCCAAGUCUCUGGAAGAGUCACUAUUUUAUAAAUUCACUCAACAUACUUAUUGAGCACCUACUGUGUACCAGACCCUUUGUUUAAUGCCCUGCUGUCAAAACCUUAAAAUUCUUAAUACCUGUGACCAAGGAGCCCUACAUUUUCAUUUUGCACUGGGCCCCAAAAAAUCUAGUCAGGGGGCUGGGGUGUGAUUCAGUGGUAGAGAACUUGCCUGGCACGUGCAAGGUCCUGGGUGCCGCAGCACCGCAAAACCACUUACAGCUGGUCCCUCUAGGGAUACAACAGGGGUCAAGAUGGACAAACAUCUUUGUAACAGGCGAGAUGACAUUUGAGGGAGACAGCAAGAGUAGACAAUAGUUUUCAAAUGAUACUUUGUAUUUUCGGUGGUGAUAGGAGCCACGCGGGUGUAGAAAGCCGCUGGGCAGGAGUCUCCGUGCGCAGACGGGAGUGGAUGGAUCUGCGGGGCAGGUGCUCCCUCAAGGGGAACUACCAGGCAAAGGCAGGAGGGGGCGCCAGCGGUUUGAGGACCAGAAAGGAGACGGCAGGGGCGGGCUGGCUUGGUCCGGGCAUGCGCUCAGGGAGGCAGGGGCAGAGGAUGCUAGGAGCUCAGGGGGGCAAACCCUCCCUACAGCGGGCAGGCAGUGUUUUUGGCUUCCGGGCCAGCGGCCGCCACUGUGCGGUUGCAUCUUGAAAGCAGCCUGUGCCUGUGGUAAAUGGAUGGGGCUGGCUCGUCCCCAGAAAGCUUUAUUGAUGGAUGCUGAGCUGUGAAUUCAUCACGUUCGCCGCAAACGAUGUAUUAUUAUUAUUCUGACUUCCCUCGCAGCCACUUGCAAGUGUAAAACCAUUCUCAGCCUCGCUGUUGGGGGCUGUAUAUAAAUGGGGCAGGCAGGGGAGGGCUGCUGCCCGCACUUCGUGCUGAGUGGGGUCCCCAGAGGCUUUGCACAGGGGAAAGAGGAGCUAGGCGGGUCAGGAAGUGGCUGCUGGCUGCAGCGGGUGGCGAGGGAGGAAAAGGGUCAAGGGCGGGUGUGCAGACCAGGAGGACGUGCGGUGCCUGCAGUUUGGGGUUGACAGGGCCGUGGCCACCAAAGGGCCACUCCAUGUAGUGCAGCCGGUGGGGGUGGCUGGUGGCUUGGAUAUGGGUGAUGACCAAGGUGAUGCUGGGACUGGCUUGAGCCCUGGGGACAGGGCUGUGCCCGGCACACUGCAGUGGGCUCUGAGAGGCAGUCUGGUCUGAGCUUACCCGCACCUAGGAAGACAGGUGGGGAGGAUGGAGGAAACGCGAGCUUGGGCUGGGAGAUCCAUUUCAGUCUCCUCCUGGACGUGCCUGGGGUCACCCCCACCUCCCAGGGUGAGAGGAGGGGGAGCCUCAGCUCCUCCCAGCUGCUUCUCACCAGCUGCUGCACCCGACAGCCUACCCUUGCCUCCGUCUGUGCAAAGGCAGCUAAGGAAUCCUCAGGCCGCCCACCUAAGCCUGGGGUCUCAAUGGGGGAAGGGGACAGUUCUGCCUCUCCCCCAUCAGGGACUGGCAGCAAUGUCCAUGGCUGUCCUGACUGGAGAAGCCCCUGGCAUGGAGCAGGUAGUGGCACUCCGCAGCCCUCAGGAUGCCCACCCCAGAGAACCAUCUGGCCCCAGAGUCCAGUGCCGAGGGAGAGACCUGGCUCUAUGGUGUCUGCUCCGUUAUCUACUCCAUUUAGCAAUUGAGAACUUGAGGCCCAGAGAGGGGAAGUGACUGGCCCAAGAUCACACAGCUGGUAUAACAAGCUGACCCCCACCCGCCCGCCGCCUCUGCGGGGCCCCUGCUCCACAGGCUCUGGAAGGCCUCGCCUGGACUCUUCCUCUGUCCCCUGUGGGCCCAGCCUCUCCCGAUGCCUUCUUUUUGUGAAUUUGCAGUUGCAUCACCGGGUCAGAAGCCGCAGCACCCCACACUCCUCCUCCUCCGCCCCAGAUGCCGCUGCUUUGCCAGCACCUCCUCUCCCAAGCACUGGGGCUCCCUGCUCAGUUCUGGCCACUCUUGCCCUGGGGUCAUCUUCUCACCAGCCCCGGACUCUUCCCCAAGCCACAUGUCAGUCGCCACUGGGCAUGUUCCCUGGACGCCCACCGGGCCCUUUGACACUGGAUGGGUUUGAACUUCCCGCGUGGAAGAUGGUCCUUUUCCAGGACACAACUUGGUGAUGAACAUGUCCCCCAAAGACCAGAUCACCCAUCCCAACCUCUGCUUCUCUGGCCCCACAGCGACUGAUUUCUGUCCAGUCUCCCACUUUCUUCCAUGUGACCUGGGUUGCCCCCCUCCCCACCCAUCCUUCACCUGGGGCUUCUGAAAUGUCAGCCCCGAGUGCGGAGCCACUCGAGGAAUUGCACGCACUGUCUGUGGAGUGUCCAGGCCUGACUAGCGCAUCUGGCAUCCAGCAGACACUCAAUAAAUGCUUCUGGCUGAAGGACCCUCUUCCCAAAAGGGUACUCUGGUGCAUGUUUUUUGAGCUGUGUGCUAGAUGCUGUUCCAGGCACAGGGACACAACACUAACCAAGUGACCAAGACACACCCAAAGUGCUUCCCCCCCCUUGUGGAGCUAACAGGGUGAGGCAGGGUGAGAGGGUUGGGAAACAGGUGUCUGGAGAGGUGUAGCCAUGCAGAGACAGCAGGCGAUGUGAGGGGUGCUUGGGAGGUGAUGUUUGAGGCUGAAACAUCAGGAGGAGCCAGCUGGGUGGGUGUCUGGGGAGUGUGCUGAGGGUGCAGCCCUGCAAAGGCCCUGGGGCAGCCCAGCCUGUUGUGCUGGAGGGUCCGAGAGGAGUCUUGUGGCUGGAGCAGAGGGAAGAGGGGGAGAGGAAGGAGGCAGGGAGGGCACAGGGCAGAUGGCGCAGGGCCCUCUGGGCCACAGAGAGGACUUAACUCUGAGGGAGAUGGGAGCCAUGGAGGGCUGUGGGCAGAGGAGAAGGGCCUGGCUCUGGUGCUCAGAGCUACUUUCUGGAGCUUCUAGGAGGAGACGGAGGGUGGGGAGGGUGCAGCAGAGCGACUGCACUGUGCAGGUGGCCACCACCAUUCCUUCAAGUUCCCUUGCAGGAAGCCCUCCCUGACUCCAGCCACAUAGGGCAGCCUCACAAGCUCCCCACUCAGUUCCGGUCAUGGCCCCAAGCACAUGGUUCAUGAGUCUAUGGGUACAUGCCUGUCUCUCCAGGGACCCCGUGACAGCAGGGACUGUCUCAGUCACCACUGGAUCUGCCCGGCUGAGGGCAGGCAGAGGAGACAGACCUCCCCGCACCUUGGGGCCAGAGCCAAGGGCGUGUCCUGUGUCUUUCAGUGGAUUUAGCUGAGCAUCUACUGUGUCGCGCCCUCCAGUGUCCCCAGGAGCUAGCCGUAGAGCUACAUCUGUAUUGGAUGAGUGAACCGAGGUUUUUCCUUGUGCUCACUGAAUGCCAGGCACUGCGUGGUGCGGUGCUUCGCAUACAGUGUCUGGCGAGUGCUCCUGGUGACCACCUGCCGUGGUGACUGCUUAUCCAGAAGCCCGUUCCGCAGUUGAGGAAAGGGAAGGGGACAGCCGGUAAGUAGCUCAGCCCAGCCAGCCAGGUGGCCCAGGCGG
rnacentral:lncRNA from 1 species